rnacentral:rRNA from 1 species
CAGUAGCCGCGGUAAAACGUAGGUGGCAAGCGUUGUCCGGAAUUAUUGGGCGUAAAGGGCUCGCAGGCGGUUUCUUAAGUCUGAUGUGAAAACCCCCGGCUCAACCGGGGAGGGUCAUUGGAAACUGGGAAACUUGAGUGCAGAAGAGGAGAGUGGAAUUCCACGUGUAGCGGUGAAAUGCGUAGAGAUGUGGAGGAACACCAGUGGCGAAGGCGACUCUCUGGUCUGUAACUGACGCUGAGGAGCGAAAGCGUGGGGAGCGAACAGGAUUAGAUACCCCUGUAGUCCCUGUCUCUUAUAC